rnacentral:rRNA from 1 species
AACGAACGCUGGCGGCAGGCUUAACACAUGCAAGUCGAGCGCAUCCUUCGGGGUGAGCGGCGGACGGGUGAGUAACGCGUGGGAACGUGCCCUCUUCUACGGAAUAGCCUCGGGAAACUGAGAGUAAUGCCGUAUACGCCCGCAAGGGGAAAGAUUUAUCGGAGGAGGAUCGGCCCGCGUUGGAUUAGGUAGUUGGUGGGGUAACGGCCUACCAAGCCGACGAUCCAUAGCUGGUUUGAGAGGAUGAUCAGCCACACCGGGACUGAGACACGGCCCAGACUCCUACGGGAGGCAGCAGUGGGGAAUCUUGGACAAUGGGGGCAACCCUGAUCCAGCCAUGCCGCGUGAUCGAUGAAGGCCUUAGGGUUGUAAAGAUCUUUCAGCUGGGAAGAUAAUGACGGUACCAGCAGAAGAAGCCCCGGCUAACUCCGUG